rnacentral:rRNA from 1 species
AUGGUGCACCCCUGCAGGGAAGAUUAUCUAUUAAUAGCCGUGUCCACGGUAACAGACGUUCAGACUUAUAUCCUGAUCUUAUACAACUACAAAUGGAUACUUGAGAUAUGUGGCUCCGGGAUUGCUUUCUCGCAGGGAGUCGAGGAAGGAUCUCUGGCCAUUAAUGUUACAACAUGUUUGUUAAAUAUAAACUGCUAUUCUUUACUCUUCUACAUGCUGCAAGAUGCUUGGAGCUGCUUGAAGAUGCUAGUCUUCGAUAGGCUAGGCCUUCCCCCUCUAUUCUGGCAUUCUGCAGUUCAGUCCACAGAUACAAACCUUCCAUUUGAUACCAAUGCAUACUUAGUAUAG